GCUCCUUGAACACAUUUCCUUUCAUCUCUUGCCUUCUCUAUCUCAGACGCAGUGCCUUCAGAAUAUUGGAAAUACUGACGUGUCUCACUGGAGUAACUAUGGCCUGGUUCCCUACCCAGAAGAGUUUCUUCAUCAUCUGUGUCUUCAACCUGUUUGUUUUCAGCACUGUAGAGACUUACACAUGUAUAGACUGUCUACUUGAUGCAUGUAGUUCUGACCUGAAGACUUGUGAUGAAAGUACUAAUGGCUGCUUCAGCACCAAGCAAGAAUUUAACAUAUCAGGU